AUUGAACGCUGGCGGCAGGCUUAACACAUGCAAGUCGAGCGGGGACUUCGGUCCUAGCGGCGAACGGGUGAGGAAUGCUUGGGAAUCUGCCCAGUAGCGGGGGAUAACGUUUCGAAAGGAACGCUAAUACCGCAUACGCCCUACGGGGGAAAGGGGGGGAUCUUCGGACCUCUCACUAUUGGAUGAGCCCAAGUCGGAUUAGCUAGUUGGUGAGGUAAAGGCUCACCAAGGCGACGAUCCGUAGCUGGUCUGAGAGGAUGAUCAGCCACACUGGAACUGAGAAACGGUCCAGACUCCUACGGGAGGCAGCAGUGGGGAAUAUUGGACAAUGGGCGAAAGCCUGAUCCAGCCAUGCCGCGUGUGUGAAGAAGGCCUUCGGGUUGUAAAGCACUUUAAGCGAGGAGGAAUGGCUCCGGGUUAAUACCCUUGAGCAUAGACGUUACUCGCAGAAUAAGCACCGGCUAACUCUGUGCCAGCAGCCGCGGUAA
rnacentral:rRNA from 1 species